rnacentral:lncRNA from 1 species
CUGGUUUGUUAUACGCGCUAGAAAGGAUUGAACAUUGUUCUUUCCGAAAAGAGUUAGGUUGUUGAUCACACGGGGGCGAGAAAUUUAGUUUAGUGUAUUUAGUAUCUUGAAGGAACGACAAAAAAAUUGAGCAAUAUGGCACACAUCAAUUGUUCAAUUAGUCGAGGAAUAAUAAGGCGAACACCUCCUAUUCCAUUUUCAUUCAAAU